rnacentral:rRNA from 1 species
UACGGGGGGGGCAAGCGUUGUUCGGAAUUACUGGGCGUAAAGGGCUCGUAGGUGGCCAACUAAGUCAGACGUGAAAUCCCUCGGCUUAACCGGGGAACUGCGUCUGAUACUGGAUGGCUUGAGUUCGGGAGAGGGAUGCGGAAUUCCAGGUGUAGCGGUGAAAUGCGUAGAUAUCUGGAGGAACACCAAUGGCGAAGGCAGCACUCUGGGACGUGACUGACGCUGAGACGCGAAAGCGUGGGGAGCAAACAGG